UACGUAGGUGACAAGCGUUGUCUGGAUUUACUGGGCGUAAAGGGCGCGUAGGCGGUAGCACAAGUCAGUUGUGAAAUCUCCGGGCUUAACUCGGAAAGGUCAACUGAUACUGUGCGACUAGAGUGCAGAAGGGGCAACUGGAAUUCUCGGUGUAGCGGUGAAAUGCGUAGAUAUCGAGAGGAACACCUGCGGCGAAGGCGGGUUGCUGGGCUGACACUGACGCUGAGGAGCGAAAGCGUGGGGAGCGAACAGG
rnacentral:rRNA from 1 species